UUUUUUCUAGGUUUUGGAAAAGAGUUGCGCGAUGUCUUCCAAUUCAUCUGAUGAUGAAUCUGAACGUUCGUCAUCUCCCAGCUUUCCUGAAUAUGAGAUAUGUAUGAGCGAGAAACUAGACGGUAUUUUGCCAUCGCAUGUUGUCAACAUUGAAACAAAUAUGGAAAUACGUUGUUUGUGUUAUUUUUCAUCAAUGAAAAGUUUCUUGUACAGUCACAGGAGCGAUGCACUAGGACUUAUCAGUGAAGAUUUUAAAUCUGAUGUGAAGAAAUUCAUGGACAUAAAAUU